GGAAUGGCGGUAUGAUAUGUUUUUUAUUCUCCUCCUGUAGUCUUGAAAAGUCUGUCUGAUAAUUGUGGGAUGAUUCUUCUAUUACUUGAUAGUGGGUUCGUAUUUGGUAAUUCGUUUGUUGGGAGUCUAGGGGAACCUAUUUUAUCUGUAUCUUCCAUUCUUCCUCUAUGUCAGAAUUUGACAGAAGGUAGAAACUAGAAAGUGAAAGAUGUUUCCUUGUUCAUACUUUCUAAUUUCUAUUUGGUUGACUAUUAAUUUUCCCAACUGCCCACGUGAAGAUGAAAAUAAGGGGUAAAAACAAAAUAAGG
rnacentral:misc_RNA from 1 species